UACGGAGGAUGCGAGCGUUAUCCGGAUUUAUUGGGUUUAAAGGGUGCGUAGGCGGACGCUUAAGCCAGCGGUAAAAUUGCGGGGCUCAACCUCGUCGAGCCGUUGAAACUGGGUGCCUUGAGUGGGCGAGAAGUACGCGGAAUGCGUGGUGUAGCGGUGAAAUGCAUAGAUAUCACGCAGAACUCCGAUUGCGAAGGCAGCGUACCGGCGCCCUACUGACGCUGAAGCACGAAGGCGUGGGUAUCGAACAGG
rnacentral:rRNA from 1 species